rnacentral:rRNA from 1 species
ACUACGGGCGGCAGCAGUGGGGGAUAUUGCACAAUGGGGGGAACCCUGAUGCAGCGACGCCGCGUGGGUGAAGAAGCGCCUCGGCGCGUAAAGCCCUGUCAGCAGGGAAGAAAAUGACGGUACCUGAAGAAGAAGCCCCGGCUAACUACGUGCCAGCAGCCGCGGUAAUACGUAGGGGGCAAGCGUUAUCCGGAUUUACUGGGUGUAAAGGGGGCGCAGACGGCGGUGCAAGCCAGGAGUGAAAGCCCGGGGCCCAACCCCGGGACUGCUCUUGGAACUGCGUGGCUGGAGUGCAGGAGGGGCAGGCGGAAUUCCUGGUGUAGCGGUGAAAUGCGUAGAUAUCAGGAGGAACACCGGUGGCGAAGGCGGCCUGCUGGACUGCAACUGACGUUGAGGCCCGAAAGCGUGGGGAGCAAACAGGAUUAGAUACCCUGGUAGUC